GCCUUGUAUCCGCGUCUCCGCAGGGAAAACUGCGGCUGGCGGUGCGGGAAGUGCUAUUAGUAGUUGUUUAUUUGUUUGUUUGCAGAAAUAAUUGCUUGGGUACGAAGGUCAAACGAGAAUGAAGCAAGUAUAUUAUCUAGUUUGUAUGUCUUUAAAUAGUUUCUCCUCCACACGUCUAAACAUACGCACCUGCUAGUAGGUGCGCAAAUGUUAAAACCUCUUUGGGAAAGCAAUGUGGCAAAAUCUAGUAAAAGUUUUCAAUUACUAAACCCCAGCACUCUGCUCCUACCUAUAUGUCUUGUAGAAACUUUGGUAAGUGAACAAGGAUGUACGUAACAGCGCUGUGGGUAGAAGCAAAAAAUUAGAAACGUCCAUCAAUAACAGAAUAAAUACCUUAUGGGAUGUUAGGAUGUAGUAUUAUACGCCAAUAAAAGAAGACUGAACUCAGAAAUGUGAUGAGGCAAAAAGAGAAAGAUGUAGAAAAAUAAAUAGUAUGACAAUUCAUAUACAUUCAACUCUAAAACUUGUAAAACAAUGCUAUAUAUUGCUUAGUUAUGCAUACAUAUGUAGUUAAAGAAGUCAAGAAAUACAAGAGAAUGAAAAUCAAGUUGAGAAAAGCAGUCAUAUCUGGUAAGGAGGGGACAAUAAAGGGAGGCUUUAACUGUAUUGACCAUUAUUAAACCGGGUGUUAAAUAUAUGGGUGGCCAUUGUUUUAUUCACUACACCUUUAAAAAUAGAUAUUAUUUUCUUAAUGUAGUUUAUUUAAAUUGAGAUAAUGCCAUAUACCCAGCAUCCAGUUUCCCCUAUUAUUAACAUCUCAUGCUAAUAUGGUACAUUUGUUGCAAUUAAUGAACCAAUAUUUUACACUGUUAUUAACUAAGGUUCACAUUUUAUUCAGAUUUCCUUCGGUUUUACCUAAUACCCUUUUUCUGUUCCAGGAUUCCAUCCAGAAUACCACAUUACAUUUAGUUAUGAUGUCUCCUUAUAUGCCUCUUGUGGCUGUGGCAGUUUCUCAAACUUUCCUUACUUUUGGUGACCUUGAGAGUUUUGAGGAGUACUGGUCAUGUAUUUUGUAGGAUGUCCUAAUCAUGGAAUUUGUCUCAUGUUUUUCUCAUGAUUGUAUGUAUUUUUAGGAUGCAUUUUUAAAAAGUCAGCUAAGUUAACAAAAUCCCUUAUCAGACUGAAUAUAAAUAAUAUCGUCCAGUCGCUUUUGAAAUUUGCAUGUCUUCGACUCACUCUCCUGAUGCACCUGAAAGUUGUAAUUUCUAAGAACUGCGUCAGCACCAUUUUUUAAAUGUGUACAUUCUGUGACCAUCGUCAUCAGCACUUAACAUCAUUUGCUGAAGAACUUGAGGAGGAAUAGGAUUUGGUAUUGAUUCCUUCAAUACGUUGACUCCUCCAGACUUUCACUGUAACCAUUAGCCCUUGGCUUCUAGAUUGUCUUUAACUUAAUUUUCUGUAGUUCAUUAUUACAGUCACUCUGUUAGCACUCACUUCCUCAGGUCACUUUUCCUUUCCCAUUACUUUCUUUCUUUCUUUGAGAGGGAAUUUUGUUCUUGUUGCCCAGGCUGGAGUGCAGUGGCGCGACAUCGACUCACCACAACCUCUGCCUCCCGGGUUCAAGCGAUUCUCUUGCCUCAGGCUCACGAGGAGUAGCUGGGAUUACAGGCGCCCGCCACCACACCUGGCUGAUUUUUUUGUUUUUAGUAGCGACGAGGUUUCACCAUGUUGGCCAGGCUGGUCUCCAACUCCUGACCUCAGGUGAUCCACCCGCCUCCACCUCCCAAAGUGCUGGGAUUAUAGGCGUGAGCCACCGCGCCUGGCCCCCAUCACUUUCUUAGCACAUACCGAACCUUGGAUAAAUGCAACCGUGACAGUACCUCCACAGCUGAGCACCGUUGAAGAAAAUCUUGUAAUCUGGUGUGAUGACAAAUCAGAAACUAGUCAUCCAUGCACUAUAUUUUUUUGCACUUGGAAAUAUUUUUUUGAGCCCAUAGAGUGUUUUAAAAAUUAACAUAUCAAAAAAAAAAGAUUUCUGGCUUCCCUUGAGAAAUCAGGAGAUCUGGCAGCAUAGAGCUGAUAGUCUUGAUGGCCACUCCACUGGCUUCCCCUUUAGAUGGGGCAUUCAUUCUUGAGUUCCUUCAUCACUCAGCCUGCUUCAGUCAUUUACCUGCCUGGCUCCUGUUGGCAUUUGUGUUUUUAGCCUCUCCCAUAAAUUCACGACCAACCCUUAACAAAUGGGUACUGUACUGUUUAGCAUCCCCACUACAGUUCCCCAGUUAAUUUGCUUACCUGCUGUCAAAAAAAAAAUUAAGCUUUUACAUAAUUAAAGUUAGUUUUAUUCAGAAGUCUCACUGAGGACUGUAGACCAAGGUUUAUACCCUGAGGGCAGUUCUUUCACAGGGCUCCAAAGUGGUCCCUCAGCCCAUUGCUUCUAUGUAGGUUGUGGGGGUUCUGUAUGUGUGAAAUCUCAUUAAAGUUUGGGUGUAAGAGUACAUCAGUUUAUAGAUUACUAAAGUAAUUUGGUUAUAGAUUGUAGAAGCAUAAUCACUAACCCUGUCAGACAUCUUCAUGUAGGAAAAGGCAAGGUCAAGUUCAUUUACUGUUUCAGGAACGUUGUAACUCAGGCGAGUGACACGGGGGGCCGUGUGCUCUAUCCUGUUUUAAGAUUCUUCCUGAGGAGCUGCAUUUCAUCACAGUCAGGGGUUCAAGCAGAAAUAAGCAAACCUGGCUUAACAUUUUCUAUUUUGUCUCACAUUAUUCUAUUUAAAGAUUAUUUCAUGUCAUUUCUUUGAUUAUCAAACCUUCCUUUCUCCCACCUUUCUUUCAGCUGAUGACUGCCUCUUUUUUUGAGACUCUCUUAGUCCCCAGGCUGGAGUGCAGUGGCAUGAUCUCGGCUCACUGCAACCUCCACCUCCUGGGUUCAAGCAAUUCUCAUGCCUCAGCCUCCCAAGUAGCUGGGAUUAUAGGCGUGUGCCACCACACCCGGCUAAUUUUAUUAUUUUUGGUAGAAACAGGGUUUCGCCAUGUUGGCCAGGCUGGUCUUGGACUCCUGACCUCAAGUGAUCCACCUGUCUCAGCCUCUCAAAGUGCUGGGAUUACAGGUGUGAGCCACCACGCCCAGCCAACUGCCUCAUUUUUAUCAGUGUACAAACAUGCUCCCAGCCAACUCCAUCAUUUUUAUCCAUGUACAAACAGGCUCUGGUGUUCCCCACUAAAACCCGCAACUCUCUUCUUUCUGAUUCUGCUUGAUCUCAUAUUCCUUUAUAACUACUGCCCCAUAUGUUCAUUUUUCUUCUGUCAAAUGUAAAAAAAAAGGAGUCAUGAAAUUUUUGGUUUUGUACAUCAAAAAUUGUGAAAGUUCAGCAGUGUCAUACAGUUUAAUACAUAAACACUAUUAUCUCUUCCUCAUCUUUCAUUCAGCUUCAGUUUCAUUUGACUUCUGUUCUAGUCAUGUCAUUAAAGCUGCUCUUGUCAGGGCAUCAACUGCUUAUAUGUUGCCAAAGCCAAAAGACAUUCCCUGUUCUUUCCUUUCUUGAUCUCCGCAAAGCACUGGACUCUGUUGGCCAGCUCUUCCUCCAUGAAACACUACCCUUCCUCACCACUCCACAGUCUGAUUUGCUGAUUUUCCCUCCUCUCCCUGUCCUAUAAAGACUACAUUUCCCUGGGUCUUGGAGCUAGGCCCCUGCUCUUCUCUUUCUGUACUGCCUUCCUGGUUAAUUCCAUUUACUCCUAUAAUUUUAAAUUUCAUCUCUGUGUUGCUUACUACCAGAUUGAUUUAUGUGAUUCCAGCCUUUCCUCAAGAUUGCUAUUCAACUUGAUAUCUAUUCUUGGAUACUCUUUAGCAUCUCAACAUGUCCAAAUCUUUUAUUUUUCUUUUCUUUUUUUUUAACUGCUCCUUGUGGAGCAGGGCUAUCCCAUAGGCAGCGUGCCUAGAGUAGCCAAAAUUAAUUGUAUGUGGGUACUCUACUGUUUAACAUCCCCACUACAGUUCCCCAGUUAAUUUGCUUACCUUCUGUCAACUUAAAAAAAAAAUCAAGCUUUUACAUAAUUAGUUUUAUUUAGAAGUCUCACUGAGGACUAUAGACCAACGUUUAUACCCUUGGUAUAACCUUAUGGGAUGUGUUGUAAGUUUUUAUGGGAUGUUUUUAAGUUUUAGAUAUACUUUUUUUUUUUUUCUUUUGGAGACAGGGUCUUGCUCUCUUGCCCAGGCUGGAGUGCAGGAACAUGAUCAUGGCUCACUGCAGCCUCAACCUCCUGGGCUCAAGCCAUCCUCCUGCCUCAGCCACUGAUGUAGCUGGCAUCACAGGCAUGCACCACCACACCUGGCUAAUUUGUAAAAAUUCUUUUGUAGAUAUGGAGUCUCCUUUUGUUGCCCAGGCUGGCCUUGAACUCCUGAGCUCAGGCAAUCCUCCCACAUUGGCAUCCCAAAGAGCUGGGAUUGCAGGCGUGAACCCCUAUGCCUAGCUCAUAAAACUUUUUAUUUUCUGCCAGAUGCAGUGGCUCACACCUGUAAUCCCAGCAGUUUGGGAGGCCGGGGCAGGCAGAGUGCUUGAGCACAGGAGUUCGAGACCAGUCUGGGCAAGAUGGUGAAACCCUGUCUCUACAAAAAUACAAAAAUUAGCAGGGUGUGAUGGUAUGCGCCCAUAGUCCCAGCUGCUUGCGGGGCUGAAGCAGGAGAAUCACUUGGGCCCAGAGGUUGAGGCUACAGUGAGCUGUGUUCAUGCCACUGCACUCCAGCUGGAGCGACAAAGUGAAACUUUGUCUCAAACAAGAAAACAACAACAAAAAAACUUGAUUUUUACCCUGAAGCCUGUUUCUGCUCCAAUAUUUUCCAUUCAGUACAUAGCAUAAUCAAGAAACCUUGGUUUUGCCUUUAAGUUUCCCUUUAUCCCUUCCGUAUGGAAUCCAUUGGAAAGUUUUGUUCCAGUUCUGAUUGUAAAAUAUUAAUAUAUUAAUGUAUCUCCAGCUGACCUACCUCUUCCCAUCUCUGUGGCCACGCCACUAAUACGUCUUAUUCUGAACUACAGCAAUGGCAUCUUUAUGGUCACUUUUUUUUCCUCUCUUGCCCCUGUUCUAUCCAUUUCCUAUAUAGUGGCCAGGGUGAUCUUUUAAAAAUAUAAACCUGAUUAUAUCACACCCUUGCUUACAGCCCUCCACAGGCUUUCUGUUGCUCUUAGAAUAAAAUCUAAAUUCCUUACCUUGUCUUACAAAGUCCUGUAUAAACUAGAUCGUGCUUAUCUUUUCAGAUUCCUGUCUCCCUCACUUUCUUGUGUCUCUCUCUGCCUUCUUCAAUUCCGUAAAUACUUCAAGUUUUUUCUAGUCUUGGGAUCGUUAUGCAUGCUGUUCCCUUUGUUCUUCAGUAGCUUGAUCUUUCUCAUCUUCUUGAUUCCCGAAAGAGGCUUCCUAAGAGAAGUGAUGCCCAAGACAUUAAAACAUGAAUGGGCGUUAGAUGAAGACAAAAGAGCAUUCCAUCGUAGAAGACAAUGUAGCAUGUGACGGAUCUGGCUCUGUCACCCAGGCUGGAGUGCAGUGGUGCUGUGUCCGGAAUUGGUGGGUUCUUGGUCUCACUGACUUCAAGAAUGAAGCCACGGACCCUUGCCAUGAGUGUUACUGUUCUUAAAGAUGGUGUGUCUGGAGUUUGUUCCUUCAGAUGUUCAGAUGUGUCUGGAGUUUUUUCCUUCUGGUGGGUUCGUGGUCUUGCUGACUUCAGGAGUGAAGCUGCAGACCUUCGCGAACCCGCAAUGGUCUUUGGACCCUGCUGACUGGAAUAGUUGCGCUCACCAAUGCAGCAGCAAAAACAACCCCUGCCCAAGAACCCACAACAGUCCCUGGACCCUGCUGAUCAGAAUAGUUGUGCUCACCAACGCAGCAGCAGAAACACUAGUUUUCCUCCCAGACCACAAGGAGGACUGAGAAAGGUCGGAUUUAGUGGCCCUUACUGAUGCAUUCUCAAAAACCUGUACCCUUGCCUGUCCUCCUAGACCACAAGGAGGACUGAGAAAAAUCGGAUUUAAUGGCCCUGACUGAUGCAUUCUUCAAAACUUUUUAGAGUCCUAAGCAUUCUCAUGUUAGUAUUGGGACCUUACCCAUGUCCUAUAGAGAUGUCAUGCCCCAAAAAUGAAGUGGAGGCCCAUACCCUGAGGGAGGGAAGGGAUCUCCAGAGUUGGAAGAGUGACACCUUUUGUCCUCACUUAUAUGAAUAGGAAGGAUACAAUUUCUGAGGCUUCCCAUAUCCUAGCUUCAGGAAUAGCUUUUGUUAGGCCUGCUAGUCUGAGGAGGGAUCCUAAAAUUCCAGGUAGUCCCCCCAUGAUGGGGCUUUGGGCAAAAAUUAUGUCUUUCUGAUUGGUGACCCCAGGUGCUGAAAGAAGGUAACAGAGUCCUGGAGUUUAUACUAGAAAUCAUUCUUAUAAGAGAAACUAGAAAAGCACCAGAGACAGGGAGUGACUUUUAGAAGCGGGACUAGCUUCGGAGAAGAGAGGCAAGAGGAAGUUUGUCUAGCAGGCAUUAGGACCCAGGAGGCAAGGGUCAGGGUAGAUAGAAUAGAUGGGCGAGUCUCGCUUGGGUGACAUGACUUGAGAGUUCCGCUCAUGGCUACAGGGUCAACCAGCUUGCUGUUGGGACCCCAGAGCUGAAUGGCUUUCCUCUCUGUCAACCCUCAGCUCAGCCCAGAAGUACAGGAAAAGUGGAAGCUGGUUCCAGGCAAACCAAUGCUCCCAACUCCGAAGAGUCAGGGGUUGUUAGAGAGCCCUUUCCCAGAAAGCCUGACACCCGUGUCUUUAGUCCGGCAGCCGCGCUAGUCGCUAUUAACUAGCCAACAGGUGCCCGUUAUUUAGCCCCCAAAUUCUAAGGAAUAAUAGGACAGAAUAGCAAGUGAAAGGGGUUCAAUAGUACUCACCGCUUGGCGAUAGGCAGUGGUCUCACUGCUUGGUGAUAGUCUUACUGCUUGGUGAUAGGCGAUAGUCCCUUCGUGGUCACCAAAAUGUGUCCGGAAUUACUGGGUUCUUGGUCUCGCUGACUUCAAGAAUGAAGCCGUGGACCCUCGCAGUGAGUGUUACAGUUCUUAAAGAUGGUGUGUCCAGAGUUUGUUCCUUCAUAUGUUCAGAUGUGUCCAGAGUUUCUUCCUUCUGGUGGGUUCGUGGUCUCGCUGACUUCAGGAAUUAAGCUGCAGACCUUUGCGGUGAGUGUUACAGCUCUUAAAGGCGGUGCGUUUGGGGUUGUUUGUUCCUUCCGGUGAGUUUGUGGUCUUGCUGGCCUCAGGAGUGAAGCUGCAGACCUUCGUGGUGAGUGUUAUAGCUCAUAAAGGUGGUGCAGAGCCAAAGAGUGAGCAGCAGCAAGAUUUAUUGUGAAGAGUGAAAGAACAAAGCUUCCACAACAUGGAAGGGGACCCAAGCGGCUUGCCGCUGCUGGCUUGGGUAGCCUGCUUUUUAUUCCCUUAUCUGGUCCCACCCACAUCCUACUGAUUGGUUCAUUUUACAGAGAGCUGACUGGUCCAUUUUACAGAGAGCUGAUUGGUCUGUUUUACAGAGAGCUGAUUGGUCCGUUUUGACAGAAGGCUGAUUGCUGCAUUUACAAACCUUUAGCUAGACACAAAAGUUCUCCAAGUCCCCUACCCAAUUAGCUAGACGCAGAGUGCUGAGUGGUGCAUUUACAAACCUUUAGCUAGACACAGUGCUGAUUGGUGUGUUUUUACAAACCUUUAGCUAGACAGAAAAGUUCUCCAGGUCCCCACCCAACCCAGAAGCCCAGCCGGGUUCACCUCUCAGUGGCACUUCCCAUGGGACUUUGCGGCACCUAGCCCAGGCAUUCCGGCAGCCCAGAGGGAGCUCGUCCCAGAUGAAGCCCAGUAGGUGCCGGCCACUAGGAGUGCAGGGCCCGCCAAGCCCAUGCCCACCCAGAACCUGCGCCUGCAGCCCUGGCUCCCACCCACGCCUCUCCCUGAAAUCUCCCCAGGAGCAGAGGGAGCCAGCUCUGGCUUUGGCCAGACUCCAAGGGGGGCCCUCACAGUGCAGCGGUGGGCUGAUGGGCUCCUCAAGCGUGGCCAGAGCGGACGCCGAGGCCAAGGAGGUGCCAAGAGUGAGCAAGGGCUGCCAGCACGUUGUCACCUCUCAGUGCAAUCUCAGCUCACUGCAGCUUCUGACUCACUGCAGCUUCUGACUCACUGCAGCCUCUGCCUCCCAGGUUCAAGCAAUCCUUCCACAUCAGCUUCCCGAGUAGCUGGGACUACAGAUAUGCACCACCAGGCCUGGCUAAUUUUUGUAUAUUUUUGUAGAGACAGGGUUUCGCCAUGUUGCCCAGGCUGGUCUCGAACUCCUGGGCUCAAGUGAUCUACCUGCCUCAGCCUUCCAGGAUUACAGACAUGAGACACUGCACCCAGCUGAAUUUUAACUCUUGUUAUGGCUGAAUAAUAUUCCAUUAUAUGGACAUACUACUUUUAUUUAUCCACUUAUCAGUUAAUGGGCAUUUGGGUUAUUUCUACAUUUUGGCUAUUGUGAAUAAUACUGCUAAGAAUAUGACAAUAUUCUUAGUAUUAUGACAGAAUAUGACAAUAUUCUUAGUAUUUUUGAGUUUGAGUUCCUAUUUUCAAUUCUUUUGGGUAAACACCUAGGAGCGGAAUUGCUAACUCUUGUGUGUAAUUCUUUGUUUAACUUUUUGAGGAACCACCAAACUGUUUUCCACAGCAGCUGCACCAUUUUACAUUCUCAUCAGCAAUGUACAAGAGUUGCAGUUUUCUCCAUCCUUGCCAACACUUAUUUUCUGGUUUAAAAAAUGUUUUAGUCUGGGCACAAUGGCUCAUGGCUUAUGCCUGUAAUCCCAGAGCUUUGGGAGGCUGAGGCAGGUGGAUCACUUGAACCUAGGAGUUCAAGACCAGCCCGGGCAAUAUGGAGAAACCCCAUCUGUACAAAAAAUCCAAAAUAUCUAGGCAUCGCAGUGCAUACCUGUAGUUCCAGAUACCUGGGUGUCUGAGAUGGCAGGAUCACCCUCCUGAGCCCAGGAGGUCAAGGCUGCAGUGAGCUGUGAUCAUGGCACUGCACUCCAGCCUGGGCAACAGAGCAAGACCCUGUCUCAAAAAAAAAUGUUUUUGACUGGGCAUGGUAGUUCAUGCCUAUAAUCCCAGCACUUUGGGAGGCAGAGGCAGGUGGAUCAUGAGGUCAGGAGACCGAAACCAUCUUGGCUAACACCCUGUCUCUACUAAAAAUUCAAAAAAUUAGCUGGGCAUGGUGACACAUGCCUGUAGUCCCAACUACUCGGGAGACUGAGGCAGGAGAAUCUCUAGAACCCGGGAGGCAGAGGUUGCAGUGAACUGAGAUCACGCCACUGCACUCCAGCCUGGGCGAUAGAGCAAGAUUCUGUCUCAAAAAAAAUAAAAUAAAAUAAAACCAUCAUCAAAAACAAAAACACAAAAAACAACAGCAGAAAAUUAUAACCAUCCUAAUAGGUAUAAAAUGAUAUCUUGUGAUUUUGAUUUGCAUCUCCCUUGUGAUGAAUGAUGAGCAUAUUUUUAUGUGUUUAUUGGCCAUUAGAAUAUCUUAUUUGAAGAACUAUUCAUAUCCCUUGCCUAUUUUUUAUUUGGCUUGCUUGUCUUUUUUCUUGUUGAAUUAUAAGGGUUCUUCAUGUAUUAUAGAUACUAGACUUAGCAGAUACAUGAUUUGCCAAUAAUUUCUCCUAUUCCGUAGGUUGUCUUUUCACUUUCUUGAUAGGGUCUUUAGAUGCACAAAAGUUUUUAUUUUGAUGAAGCUCAAUUUAUCUACUUUUUCUUCCUUCCUUUUUUUUUUUUUUAUUUUGAGACGAAGUUUUGCUCUAUCACCCAGGCUGGAGUGCAGCGGCACAAGCUUGGCUCACUGCAACCUCCGCCUCCCAAGUUCAAGCAAUUCUCCUGCCUCAGCCUCCUGAGUAGCUGGGAUACAAGCGUGCACCACCACUCCUGGCUAAUUUUUGUAUUUUUAGUAGAGACGGGGUUUCACCGUGUUGGCCAGGCUGGUCUAGAACACCUGACCUCAAGUGAUCGCCCUAAGUUGGCCUCCUAAAUUGCUGGGAUUACAGGCAUGAGCCACCAUUCCCAGACAAUUUUAUCUAUUUUUUCUUUUGUUGCUUGAGGUUUUUAUGUCAAACUAAAAAACUGUUGCCAGAUCCAAGGUCAUGUAGCUUUAUCUCUAUGUUUUAGAGGUGGGGGUUCACUUUCUUGCCCAGCCAGAGUGAAGUGGCUAUUCACAGGUGUGAUCAAAGCUAACUGCUCAAAUCCUGGCCUCAAAGGAUCCUCCCGCCUCAGCCUCCCAAGUAACUGGGACUACAGGCACUGCUGCCUGACUCUACUUUAUAUUUUUUAGUUAUUUUCUUAGUGAUUACCCUGAGGAUUACAGUUAACAUUAUAAUUUAUAACAAUCAAGUUUGAAUUUAUACCAGGUUAGUUUAAAUAGCAUACAGAACUUUGCUCUUACAUAGCUCCAUCCCUCCUUUAUGUUGCUAUUGCUGCAAACUACAUCUUCAUGCAUCGUGUGCUGAUUAACAUAUAUUUAUAACUAUUGUUUAUGCACUUGUCUUUUAAAUCAUAUAAAAAACAAGGAGUUAUAAAGCAAAAAUAUAGUAAUACUGUUUUUUGUAGUUAUAAUACCUUUACCUAUGUAGUUGUAAUACCUUUACUGAAGUUCUUUCUUCACAUGGCCGCAAGUUACUGUAUAUUGCCUUUCAUGUCAGCCUGAAGGACUCCUUUUAGCAUUUCCUGUAGGGCUGGUCUACUAGUGACAAAUUUCUCCAGUUUUUGUUAAUCUGGGAGUGUCUUAAUUUCUACUUCAUUACUGAAUAUAGUUUUGCCAGAUAAAAUUUUUUGGCCAGGCUUGCUGGCUCAUGCUUGUAAUCCCAGCACUUUGGGAGGCUGAGGGGGGAGGAUUGUUUUGAGCUCAGGAGUUCAAGACCAACCUGGGCAACAUGACAAAAUCCCAACUCUACAAAAAAUACAAAAAUUAGCCCGGCAUUGGUGGCUUGUGCCUGUAGUCCCUGCUACUCACGAGGCUGAGGCUGGAGAGUCACUUGAGCCUUGGAAGCGGAGGUUGCAGUGAGUUGAAAUCAUGCCACUGCACUCCAGUCUAUACUCCCCUGUCUCAAAAGAAAGAAUUUUUUUUUUUGGUUGACAUUUUUUCUCUUUCAGUACUUUAAAUGUGUCAUCCACUAACUGUGGCUUUCAUAGUUUCUAAUGAGGAAUCAAUUGUUAAUUUUAUUUAGAAUUUCUUGUAAAUAAUGAGUUGCCUCUCUCUUGCUGCUUUCAAGAUGCUCUCUUUGGCUUUUGACAGCUUGGUUAUAAUGCGUCUCUGUCUGGUUCUCUAUACUUGAAAUUUGUUGAGCUUCUUGGGUGUGAAGAGUCAUGUCUUUCAUUACAUUUGAGAAGUUUUGGCCAUUAAUUCUUCAAAUAUUGUCUCUGCCCCUUUCUCUUUCUCCUCCUCUUUUAAAACUCUCUCUCUUUUUUUUUUUUUGUUUUUGUUUUUGAUACAAAGUGUCACUCUGUCACCCAGGCUGGAGUGCAGUGGUGUGAUCUCAGCUCACUGCAACCUCUGCCUCCCAGGUUCAAGUGAUUCUCAUGCCUCAGCCUUCUGAGUAGCUGGGAUUACAGGCGUGUGCCACCAUACCCACCUAAUUUUUGUAUUUUGUAUUUUUUUAAAUUUUGUUUAUAUAUUUAUUUAUUUAUUUUGAGAUGAAGUCUCAUUCUGUUGCCUAGGCUGGAGUACAGUGGCACAAUCUUGGCUCACUGCAACCUCUGCCUCCCAGGUUCAAGCAAUUCUCUCAGCCUCCCAAGUAGCUGGGAUUAUAGGCAUAUGCCACCAUGCCAGGCUAAUUUUUGUAUUUUUUGUAGACACAGGGUUUUGCCAUGUUGGCCAGGCUGGUCUCAAACUCCUGACCAGCCCUCCUUGACCUUCCAAAGUGCUGGGAUUAUAGGCGUGAGCCAUUGCACCUGGCCCAGUUCCCUGGGAUACAUGUGUUUUAAUUCAUUUUCUGUUGCUAGUAACAGAAUACCUGAAACUGGGUAAUUUAUAAGGAAAAGAAAUUUAUUUCUUACAGUGAUGGAGGUUGAGAAGUCCAACUUCAAGGCACCACAUCUGGUGAGAGCCUUCAUUCCGAUGACAGCCUUCAUGCUGGUAAGAUUUUCUUCAGAGUUCCAAGGUGGUGCACGGCAUCACAUGGCGAAGGAAAUGAGCGUGCUAGCUCAGGUGUCUCUUCCUCUUCUUAUAAAGCCACCAGUCCCACUCCUGUGCUAGUAACUCUUUAAUCCAUCAACCCAUUAAUCCAUGAAUAGAUUAACCCAUGAGGCCUCUGCCCUCAGGACCCAAUCACCUCUUAAAGGCCUGACCUGUCAAUAUUGCCAUACUGGGGACUCAGUUUCAACAUGAGUUUUGAAAGGGACAAACAUUCAAUCCAUAGUAACAUGAGAGCUUUUCAAAGCCCUUCUUUGUUGAAGUAUGUCCUUCUCCAGCCUCUUUUUUCCCAGGCUUUUUGUUUUUUCUAUUGCUUGUGCAGCUGUUAUCCUUUGCUACAGGUGGCAAUAGCUAAUACAUUUGCCUUUAAAUUUGUUUGACAAACACCACCCUGGAAGUAGCCUCAACUCUGGGGAAGCUCCAAGACAGGUAAAAUACAGGUAAGCCCUUGAGCAGAUCCUUCAGGAAGCUACCAUAUGGGUCAAAACACAGAACCACAAUUCUUUAAUUCUUUGAGAAUAAGGUCUGUAUUGUUCCCUCUGUUACCAGCAACCUGCAGCAGGAAAAUGGGCUUCAGUUUUCAAGUCUGCAGCUGAGUUGGGAAGUUGCGGACAGUAACCAGUAAUACACAAUAUUGGCAACA
rnacentral:lncRNA from 1 species